rnacentral:rRNA from 1 species
UACGAGAGGCCCAAACGUUAUUCGGAAUUACUGGGCUUAAAGAGUUCGUAGGCGGCGCAGAAAGUAGGGUGUGACAGCCCUCGGCUCAACCGAGGAAUUGCGCUCUAAACUACUGUGCUUGAGGAAUCUAGAGGUGAGCGGAACUGAUGGUGGAGCGGUGAAAUGCGUUGAUAUCAUCAAGAACACCGGAGGCGAAGGCGGCUCACUGGGGAUUUUCUGACGCUGAGGAACGAAAGCCAGGGGAGCGAACGGG